GGAAGAGGCCUGGGCUAGCAGAUGGCUAUAGAGAGUAAGAAGGUUUCUGUGGAUGAUGAGGAGUUGCUGCUUGUGAGCAGGAACACAGACCCUUGGGAAGAAGAGGCUCUGCCUAGCUAGAUACUGGGCCAUUGUGGUGAAUCUGGCUGGCUGGCUGCAGGCUCAGAAAGAUAAUACUGCAUCAGGAAGUGAUCAGUCCACUUAGCAAGAUGCAGGAAGGGUGUUCUGAGACUGAUCUGCUUCAAGCCUUGAAAUGAAGUGGGGCAGAUCCUGGGCCUGGCUGAGACCUUGUUCAAUCUCCAGGAAAACUUAACACAGCCUAAAGGCUGCUCUAAAUUAUGCAAGCGGGGAUAGUCCCCUGGGGACGACAGUGCUGAC